rnacentral:rRNA from 1 species
AUUGAACGCUGGCGGCAGGCCUAACACAUGCAAGUCGAGCGAGUGGCGGACGGGUGAGUAAUGUAUGGGGAUCUGCCUGAUAGAGGGGGAUAACUACUGGAAACGGUGGCUAAUACCGCAUACUAUCGGAUGAACCCAGAUGGGAUUAGCUAGUAGGUGGGGUAAAGGCUCACCUAGGCGACGAUCCCUAGCUGGUCUGAGAGGAUGACCAGCCACACUGGGACUGAGACACGGUCCAGACUCCUACGGGAGGCAGCAGUGGGGAAUAUUGCACAAUGGGCGCAAGCCUGAUGCAGCCAUGCCGCGUGUAUGAAGAAGGCCUUAGGGUUGUAAAGUACUUUCAGCGGGGAGGCGUUACCCGCAGAAGAAGCACCGGCUAACUCCGUGCCAGCAGCCGCGGUAAUUC